rnacentral:SRP_RNA from 1 species
CGCUAUCACCUUUAUGUCGCGCUUGCCUGCCCGUGGGCUGAUGGUACGUUGGCUGCCCUCUUCAUGAAGGGCCUCGAGAAUGUCAUCAGCUACAGCGUCGUGCACCC